AUGUUUUUCAACACAAGAACAUUUGAGUUGCCUGCUUCUGGGGAAAUGUCUGCACUGAACAGUGAGCUGGUGGUGAACAAAGAUCACAUCGGUUGUAGACGGCGCUGGGAUUGCCCCUGUGGGAAUGAGACCCGGUCAGUUACUGGGUCUUUGAGUGAAUGCCAAGGAGAUGGGGGCCAUUGCAUUAAAAUAAUAAACCUCUUUGUUUGGAAGGGAGCAAGGUGGCUCUUUCUCAGGAUGCGAACAAUGGGAAACAGAUCAUGCUUGUAAUCAGCACACUCUGUAAGGCAAUGUCACAUCUUCAGUGUUUAAAGUGGUUUCAGGAACAGGUGUAUUCAGACGAUCCUUUUCAUAUGAUGAUUUUGUAGCUUUUUAUUUUACUUUAACUUUGUGAACCCUGUUAAGUGACACUGUGAGAAGAAUCUUAAUAAGUUACUUAUUUGCUUGCAGAAAGCGACAUUCUUUUGUCCUGUGAUUUGGGAAUUGAAGCUGUGGAUAGCUCUGCCCACUAACAUUUCAUAAAGUAAUUGAGGAGGAAAAGAACUGUCAGAUCAGGGGCCGAAGACAUGCCUUUGAAGCAAGAGUAUUGGCUUCAUUCUCCAAAGAGCCACUUCAGUCCCUCCUUGUCCCCACCUAAGGCACACACUUCUGUUCUGCAGUGUUUGAAGCCGACUGCAUGGGCUUUGGCCUCCAGGGUGCAGCACUCUAGAAGAAUAUGUCAGACUGCCUUCAGUCCGUUAAUUUCUCAUUACUGGAACAGGCUUUCAGAGUGUCUCGAACCUGCCACAGAGGAUCCUGCCAACCCCCACAGCGUGAGAAACUUGGUGUGACCGCCAUCCAUCUUGACUUGCCAUCUGAGAAAUUGUCACAGAGAACAAAUGCAUUGUAUCUCAAAGCCCAGCUCUUCAGUUGAUAGUGAGCGCACAGUGCUGAGGAGGAUUCUGAGGCUGCGUGCAGGGUCAGUGGGCAGUAGCUGUCAUGGGGACCAGAAAAGAAAGAGGAGCCAUCCUUGCCAGGCUCCAGCUCUCUCAAGUGUGUUUUUUGUUCCUGGAGCUGAGACUGGCAUCCUUACUUUUAGUAUAGACAGAAUGAUGGAUUGUUGGCACCUGACACUGAAGGACUUCAUAGAUGCUCUCUAUGUGUGAAGGAACAUUUG